GUGCCCCUUCAAGUCCCCUUAAACCUGUUGACCCGGUUUCUCCCUGAUAAACACACCAUAUAUUAACUAGCAGUUAAUGCAACUACUUUAUUUUUGUGGACAGCACCAGACACCAUGUUAAAGAGAGUCAUGUGUCAUAUGUACCUUCUGCCCAGGGGCUCCAUCCUCUCCUGGAAGACCAGGCGAUCCAACCUCCCCAGGCAAGCCCUGAUCUCCCUGAAGAAGAAAGAUGCCAAAGGGCAUACAUAACAACAUACCUUUGGUCCUGGAAACCCCUCCCCUUUUGGUCCACGGAGUCCUGGAGGCCCCCUCGGCCCUUCUGUACCCUAUGGGAUUUAAGGCAAUCACAUUGGCCUACUAAAAUACACACAUACACAUCAGUAAUCAAUAUGAAACAGCAAGGUGCAAAAACAGAAAGAGUCUAAGCUCAUGGUAACAGGACCUCAUAAUAAAAAAACUUUAAACAAGACAUUUAAUAAUC